rnacentral:rRNA from 1 species
GAUGAACGCUGGCGGCGUGCUUAACACAUGCAAGUCGAACGGAAAGGCCCAAGCUUGCUUGGGUACUCGAGUGGCGAACGGGUGAGUAACACGUGGGUGAUCUGCCCUGCACUUCGGGAUAAGCCUGGGAAACUGGGUCUAAUACUGGAUAGGACCACUUCUUGGAUGUUGUGGUGGAAAGUUUUUUCGGUGUGGGAUGAGCUCGCGGCCUAUCAGCUUGUUGGUGGGGUAAUGGCCUACCAAGGCGUCGACGGGUAGCCGGCCUGAGAGGGUGUACGGCCACAUUGGGACUGAGAUACGGCCCAGACUCCUACGGGAGGCAGCAGUGGGGAAUAUUGCACAAUGGGCGCAAGCCUGAUGCAGCGACGCCGCGUGGGGGAUGACGGCCUUCGGGUUGGAAACUCCUUUCGCUAGGGACGAAGCGUUUUGUGACGGUACCUGGAGAAGAAGCACCGGCUAACUACGUG